rfam:Eucalyptus grandis cultivar BRASTZ1 unplaced genomic scaffold scaffold_2, whole genome shotgun sequence.
GGCAAAAUGAUGAGUUUCUUGUAUCUGAAAAUGGUGUGGAUUGCCAUAUCACAUAGGUCUUCAAAGUUCUCUGAUUGCU